rnacentral:rRNA from 1 species
GACGAACGCUGGCGGCGUGCUUAACACAUGCAAGUCGAACGGAAAGGCCCUGCUUUUGUGGGGUGCUCGUGUGGCGAACGGGUGAGUAACACGUGAGUAACCUGUGCUUGAGUUUGGGAUAACUUCAGGAAACUGGGGCUAAUACCGGAUAGGAGCUCCUGCUGCACGGUGGGGGUUGGAAAGUUUCGGCGGUUGUGGAUGGACUCGCGGCUUAUCAGCUUGUUGGUGGGGUAGUGGCUUACCAAGGCUUUGACGGGUAGCCGGCCUGAGAGUGUGAGCGGCCACAUUGGGACUGAGAUACGGCCCAGACGCCUACGUGAGGCAGCGGUGGGGAAUAUUGCACAAUGGGCCGAAGCCGGAUGCAGCAACGCCGCGUGCGGGAUGACGGCCUUCGGGUUGUAAACCGCUUUCGCCUGUGACGAAGCGUGAGUGACGGUAAUGGGUAAAGAAGCACCGGCUAACUACGUG